AUGCUCACUUUGGCAGCACAUAUACUAAAAUUGGAACGAUACAGAGAAAAUUAGCAUGUCCCCCAUGCAAGGAUGACAUGUAAAUGUAUGAAGUGCUCUAUAUUUUU
ensembl:snRNA U6 U6 spliceosomal RNA